CGGGUGAGUAACACGUGGGCAAUCUGCCCUGCACUCUGGGACAAGCCCUGGAAACGGGGUCUAAUACCGGAUAUGACCUGCUCCUGCAUGGGGGUGGGUGGAAAGCUCCGGCGGUGCAGGAUGAGCCCGCGGCCUAUCAGCUUGUUGGUGGGGUGAUGGCCUACCAAGGCGACGACGGGUAGCCGGCCUGAGAGGGCGACCGGCCACACUGGGACUGAGACACGGCCCAGACUCCUACGGGAGGCAGCAGUGGGGAAUAUUGCACAAUGGGCGCAAGCCUGAUGCAGCGACGCCGCGUGAGGGAUGACGGCCUUCGGGUUGUAAACCUCUUUCAGCAGGGAAGAAGCGUGAGUGACGGUACCUGCAGAAGAAGCACCGGCUAACUACGUGCCAGCAGCCGCGGUAAUACGUAGGGUGCGAGCGUUGUCCGGAAUUAUUGGGCGUAAAGAGCUCGUAGGCGGUCUGUCGCGUCGGAUGUGAAAGCCCGGGGCUUAACUCCGGGUCUGCA
rnacentral:rRNA from 1 species